CACGCCCCCAGCUGGAGGACUGGUGGCGCCCGGAGAGUGUGGCGCGCUCAGGCAGCCGCAGGUGCUCGCUUAGCCUAGGGGACCGGUGGAGGAACCACUAGGGUGAGGUCGCAGGGUGCCUUGACGCCCCGCGCCAGUCCUGGGACUGGCCCCCAUCCUGCUAAGCCGAAGACUGCGGACUCUGAGGAAGGGCGCCACCGCCUGGCAUCGUCCCGCGCGCUGGGGCAGAACGGCCACGCCAGACACCUGUCUCUCGAGAGGCCUGAGAAGGGCUUAGGGGCCCAGACAAUGCUUAGCCCAGACGCAGGGGAGCUGCUGCCCAGAAGGCAGGGCCCCGCGACAGCAUGCAGUGGGGGCUUUGUCUCCCACGGGGUCAGGUUGUCACCUGUGUCCCCAAAACACAGGCGGGCCCUGCAGAAAGACACAGGUGUCGCUGGGCAGCGGGAAGCUGGGGCACAGAGUGACUGCCCCCACGAGAUUCAGCCAAGAGUGGGCAAGGAAUCAACCGAAUAGACCAGGGCCUCGAGAGGGUGAAGCCGCGGUGGGUGGGAGGUCAGGCAAGAAGUCUGCAUGGCUGCCUGCUCCCCGCCAUCCUCCCACCAGCACCGUCCUCCCCAGCACUGCUGUCCUAGCCUGGCCACCAAAAGCCUCUCCGGAUUGGAAUGUGACUUGGUCACUUCUGGUGGCCGCUGAUCCACGUGACGGGCACAGCCCGGGGAGACCUGGGACUUCCUAUACGGUGCCAGCAGGUGAUCAUGGACACCGGGUGCAGACCCAGCCUCUGACCUGGACACAGAGUUUCCACUUGCUUCGGGAGGACGCUGCUGCCUCAUCUUCCAGGUCGAAGGCCACCGCGCUGGGCUGGAAUGAAGGCCCCACUGGCUCAGCUCCAGGCACAGGCCCAAGGCACUGAGUCUACAGAGCAGGAACAAGUUUCUGUGUCUACUCCAGCAAGUACUUGCAAGGAUUUCUCUCCCUGGUCCCAGAGACCCCAGUGCCUCUGCCUUCCAGUUAGCAUUGUAGACAGCUAAGUCAGCUAAAAAUAUUAUAGGCCAUCAGACAGGACUGGACUUGAAGUUAAUGUGGAGGGGCCGGGGAUUUAGCUCAGUGGCCCUGUGCCUGCCUCAUAAGUGCAAGGUCAUGAGUUCGAUCCGUGGUAUCAAAAAAAGAGUCAGUGUGAAAGAUAAAAACAGUAUCACAACUGUGGCUGCAGACACAUUCGUUGAAGGCAAGGCUGAAAAACUGACUAUACCUGCAUACCUCCCCUGGGAUAAACAGCAGUGACUGAUAUUCUAAAUAGGCAUCAAUCACCUUCGGUAGAGACCAAAACCUCCCUGGCCCAUUCCUUCUUGGAAAAUCCUUUUGUUCCGUGUAGGCUCACAACUUGCUUCUUGCUUCCCCAUUUGAUCCCAAUUUAAUCAAUAUUAUCUAAGUGACUGUUCUUGUAAUCUGAUAGGUAGUCCAUAGUUUUGUGCCACCUUGUACCCUGCCUCACCUCAGGCUUUGCUCUAUAAAACUCCCUUGAGAAGCAGGGUCCCCGGCAACCCACUUUCUAGGCUCCCUCCAGUCUCUCUUAGAAGCUAUCUUUCUCUCAAU
ensembl:lincRNA